rnacentral:snRNA from 1 species
CCGCUUUGGCAGCACAUACACUGAAAUUGGAACAAUACAGAGAAGAUUAGCAUGACCCCUGCACAAGGAUGACAUGCAAAUUUGUGAAGUGUUCCAUUUUUUA